UACGUAGGUGACCAACGUUGUCCGGAUUUAUUGGGCGUAAAGAGCGUGUAGGCGGCCAGACAGGUCCGUUGUGAAAACUCGAGGCUCAACCUCGAGACGCCGAUGGAAACCGUCUGGCUAGAGUCCGGAAGAGGAGAGUGGAAUUCCCGGUGUAGCGGUGAAAUGCGCAGAUAUCGGGAAGAACACCCGUGGCUAAGGCGGCUCUCUAGUACGGUACUGACGCUGAGACGCGAAAGCGUGGGGAGCGAACAGG
rnacentral:rRNA from 1 species